GGGUUGUGAGGUUAAGCGACUAAGCGUACACGGUGGAUGCCCUGGCAGUCAGAGGCGAUGAAGGACGUGCUAAUCUGCGAUAAGCGUCGGUAAGGUGAUAUGAACCGUUAUAACCGGCGAUUUCCGAAUGGGGAAACCCAGUGUGAUUCGUCACACUAUCAUUAACUGAAUCCAUAGGUUAAUGAGGCGAACCGGGGGAACUGAAACAUCUAAGUACCCCGAGGAAAAGAAAUCAACCGAGAUUCCCCCAGUAGCGGCGAGCGAACGGGGAGCAGCCCAGAGCCUGAAUCAGUGUGUGUGUUAGUGGAAGCGUCUGGAAAGGCGCGCGAUACAGGGUGACAGCCCCGUACACAAAAAUGCACAUACUGUGAGCUCGAUGAGUAGGGCGGGACACGUGGUAUCCUGUCUGAAUAUGGGGGGACCAUCCUCCAAGGCUAAAUACUCCUGACUGACCGAUAGUGAACCAGUACCGUGAGGGAAAGGCGAAAAGAACCCCGGCGAGGGGAGUGAAAAAGAACCUGAAACCGUGUACGUACAAGCAGUGGGAGCACAGAGCAAUCUGUGUGACUGCGUACCUUUUGUAUAAUGGGUCAGCGACUUAUAUUCUGUAGCAAGGUUAACCGAAUAGGGGAGCCGAAGGGAAACCGAGUCUUAACUGGGCGUUAAGUUGCAGGGUAUAGACCCGAAACCCGGUGAUCUAGCCAUGGGCAGGUUGAAGGUUGGGUAACACUAACUGGAGGACCGAACCGACUAAUGUUGAAAAAUUAGCGGAUGACUUGUGGCUGGGGGUGAAAGGCCAAUCAAACCGGGAGAUAGCUGGUUCUCCCCGAAAGCUAUUUAGGUAGCGCCUCGUGAAUUCAUCUCCGGGGGUAGAGCACUGUUUCGGCAAGGGGGUCAUCCCGACUUACCAACCCGAUGCAAACUGCGAAUACCGGAGAAUGUUAUCACGGGAGACACACGGCGGGUGCUAACGUCCGUCGUGAAGAGGGAAACAACCCAGACCGCCAGCUAAGGUCCCAAAGUCAUGGUUAAGUGGGAAACGAUGUGGGAAGGCCCAGACAGCCAGGAUGUUGGCUUAGAAGCAGCCAUCAUUUAAAGAAAGCGUAAUAGCUCACUGGUCGAGUCGGCCUGCGCGGAAGAUGUAACGGGGCUAAACCAUGCACCGAAGCUGCGGCAGCGACGCUUAUGCGUUGUUGGGUAGGGGAGCGUUCUGUAAGCCUGUGAAGGUGUGCUGUGAGGCAUGCUGGAGGUAUCAGAAGUGCGAAUGCUGACAUAAGUAACGAUAAAGCGGGUGAAAAGCCCGCUCGCCGGAAGACCAAGGGUUCCUGUCCAACGUUAAUCGGGGCAGGGUGAGUCGACCCCUAAGGCGAGGCCGAAAGGCGUAGUCGAUGGGAAACAGGUUAAUAUUCCUGUACUUGGUGUUACUGCGAAGGGGGGACGGAGAAGGCUAUGUUGGCCGGGCGACGGUUGUCCCGGUUUAAGCGUGUAGGCUGGUUUUCCAGGCAAAUCCGGAAAAUCAAGGCUGAGGCGUGAUGACGAGGCACUACGGUGCUGAAGCAACAAAUGCCCUGCUUCCAGGAAAAGCCUCUAAGCAUCAGGUAACAUCAAAUCGUACCCCAAACCGACACAGGUGGUCAGGUAGAGAAUACCAAGGCGCUUGAGAGAACUCGGGUGAAGGAACUAGGCAAAAUGGUGCCGUAACUUCGGGAGAAGGCACGCUGAUAUGUAGGUGAAGUCCCUCGCGGAUGGAGCUGAAAUCAGUCGAAGAUACCAGCUGGCUGCAACUGUUUAUUAAAAACACAGCACUGUGCAAACACGAAAGUGGACGUAUACGGUGUGACGCCUGCCCGGUGCCGGAAGGUUAAUUGAUGGGGUCAGCGCAAGCGAAGCUCUUGAUCGAAGCCCCGGUAAACGGCGGCCGUAACUAUAACGGUCCUAAGGUAGCGAAAUUCCUUGUCGGGUAAGUUCCGACCUGCACGAAUGGCGUAAUGAUGGCCAGGCUGUCUCCACCCGAGACUCAGUGAAAUUGAACUCGCUGUGAAGAUGCAGUGUACCCGCGGCAAGACGGAAAGACCCCGUGAACCUUUACUAUAGCUUGACACUGAACAUUGAGCCUUGAUGUGUAGGAUAGGUGGGAGGCUUUGAAGUGUGGACGCCAGUCUGCAUGGAGCCGACCUUGAAAUACCACCCUUUAAUGUUUGAUGUUCUAACGUUGACCCGUAAUCCGGGUUGCGGACAGUGUCUGGUGGGUAGUUUGACUGGGGCGGUCUCCUCCUAAAGAGUAACGGAGGAGCACGAAGGUUGGCUAAUCCUGGUCGGACAUCAGGAGGUUAGUGCAAUGGCAUAAGCCAGCUUGACUGCGAGCGUGACGGCGCGAGCAGGUGCGAAAGCAGGUCAUAGUGAUCCGGUGGUUCUGAAUGGAAGGGCCAUCGCUCAACGGAUAAAAGGUACUCCGGGGAUAACAGGCUGAUACCGCCCAAGAGUUCAUAUCGACGGCGGUGUUUGGCACCUCGAUGUCGGCUCAUCACAUCCUGGGGCUGAAGUAGGUCCCAAGGGUAUGGCUGUUCGCCAUUUAAAGUGGUACGCGAGCUGGGUUUAGAACGUCGUGAGACAGUUCGGUCCCUAUCUGCAGUGGGCGCUGGACACCUGAGGGGGGCUGCUCCUCGUACGAGAGGACCGGAGUGGACGC
rnacentral:rRNA from 1 species